GCUUAACCGGAGAAGUGCAUCGGAAACUGAUAAACUUGAGUGCAGAAAAGGAUAGUGGAACUUCAUGUGUAGCGGUGAAAUGCGUAGAUAUAUGAAGGAACACCAGUGGCGAAGGCGGCUAUCUGGUCUGUAACUGACGCUGAGGCUCGAAAGCAUGGGUAGCAAACAGGAUUAGAUACCCUGGUAGUCCAUGCCGUAAACGAUGAAUGCUAGGUGUUGGAAGGUUUCCGCCUUUCAGUGCCGCAGCUAACGCAUUAAGCAUUCCGCCUGGGGAGUACGACCGCAAGGUUGAAACUCAAAGGAAUUGACGGGGACCCGCACAAGCGGUGGAGCAUGUGGUUUAAUUCGAUGCUACGCGAAGAACCUUACCAGGACUUGACAUCUUCUGCCAAUCUAAGAGAUUAGACGUUCCCUUCGGGGACAGAAUGACAGGUGGUGCAUGGUUGUCGUCAGCUCGUGUCGUGAGAUGUUGGGUUAAGUCCCGCAACGAGCGCAACCCUUGUCUUUAGUUGCCAGCAUUAAGUUGGGCACUCUAGAGAGACUGCCGGUGAUAAACCGGAGGAAGGUGGGGAUGACGUCAAAUCAUCAUGCCCCUUAUGUCCUGCGCUACACACGUGCUACAAUGGGCGAUACAACG
rnacentral:rRNA from 1 species